GCGAACUCCGUGCCAGCGGCGUCGGGAAGACGGAGGGUGCAAGCGUUAUCCGGAUUGAUUGGGUUUAAAGGGUCCGUAGGCGGAGCUAUAAGUCAGUGGUGAAAUCUCACAGCUUAACUGUGAAACUGCCGUUGAUACUGUAGGUCUUGAGUAAAUUUGAAGUGGCUGGAAUAAGUAGUGUAGCGGUGAAAUGCAUAGAUAUUACUUAGAACACCAAUUGCGAAGGCAGGUCACUAAGAUUUAACUGACGCUGAGGGACGAAAGCGUGGGGAGCGAACAGGAUUAGAUACCCCAGUAGUC
rnacentral:rRNA from 1 species